rnacentral:rRNA from 1 species
GAUGAACGCUGGCGGCGUGCCUAGUACAUGCAAGUCGAGCGAACAGACGAGGAGCUUGCUCCUCUGACGUUAGCGGCGGACGGGUGAGUAACACGUGGAUAACCUACCUAUAAGACUGGGAUAACUUCGGGAAACCGGAGCUAAUACCGGAUAAUAUAUUGAACCGCAUGGUUCAAUAGUGAAAGACGGUUUUGCUGUCACUUAUAGAUGGAUCCGCGCCGCAUUAGCUAGUUGGUAAGGUAACGGCUUACCAAGGCAACGAUGCGUAGCCGACCUGAGAGGGUGAUCGGUCACACUGGAACUGAGACACGGUCCAGACUCCUACGGGAGGCAGCAGUAGGGAAUCUUCCGCAAUGGGCGAAAGCCUGACGGAGCAACGCCGCGUGAGUGAUGAAGGUCUUCGGAUCGUAAAACUCUGUUAUUAGGAAAGAACAAAUGUGUAAGUAACUAUGCACGUCUUGACGGUACCUAAUCAGAAAGCCACGGCUAACUACGUG